GACGAACGCUGGCGGCGUGCUUAACACAUGCAAGUCGAACGGAAAGGCCCUGCUUUUGUGGGGUGCUCGAGUGGCGACCGGGUGAGUAACACGUGAGUAACCUGCCCUUGGCUUUGGGAUAACUUCAGGAAACUGGGGCUAAUACCGGAUAGGAGCUCCUGCUGCAUGGUGGGGGUUGGACAGUUUCGGCGGUUGGGGAUGGACUCGCGGCUUAUCAGCUUGUUGGUGGGGUAGUGGCUUACCAAGGCUUUGACGGGUAGCCGGCCUGAGAGGGUGACCGGCCACAUUGGGACGGAGAUGAGGCCCAGACUAGUACGGGAGGCAGCGGUGGGGAAUAGUGCACAAUGGGAGGAAGCCUGACGCAGCAACGCAGCGUGCGGGAUGACGGCCUGCGGGUUGUAAACCGAUUUCGCCUGUGACGAAGCGUGAGUGACGGUAAUGGGUAAAGAAGCACCGGCUAACUACGUG
rnacentral:rRNA from 1 species